rnacentral:rRNA from 1 species
AGAGUUUGAUCAUGGCUCAGGACGAACGCUGGCGGCGUGCUUAACACAUGCAAGUCGAGCGAUGAAACUUCUUCGGAAGUGGAUUAGCGGCGGACGGGUGAGUAACACGUGGGCAACCUGCCCUAUAGAGGGGAAUAGCCUUCCGAAAGGAAGAUUAAUACCCCAUAAGAUUGUAGUUUCACAUGGAACAGCAAUUAAAGGAGCAAUCCGCUAUAGGAUGGGCCCGCGGCGCAUUAGCUAGUUGGUGAGGUAACGGCUCACCAAGGCGACGAUGCGUAGCCGACCUGAGAGGGUGAUCGGCCACAUUGGGACUGAGACACGGCCCAGACUCCUACGGGAGGCAGCAGUGGGGAAUAUUGCACAAUGGGGGAAACCCUGAUGCAGCAACGCCGCGUGAGUGAUGACGGCCUUCGGGUUGUAAAGCUCUGUCUUUGGGGACGAUAAUGACGGUACCCAAGGAGGAAGCCACGGCUAACUACGUGCCAGCAGCCGCGGUAAUACGUAGGUGGCAAGCGUUGUCCGGAUUUACUGGGCGUAAAGGGAGCGUAGGCGGACUUUUAAGUGGGAUGUGAAAUACUCGGGCUCAACCUGAGUGCUGCAUUCCAAACUGGAAGUCUAGAGUGCAGGAGGGGAAAGUGGAAUUCCUAGUGUAGCGGUGAAAUGCGUAGAUAUUAGGAAGAACACCGGUGGCGAAGGCGACUUUCUGGACUGUAACUGACGCUGAGGCUCGAAAGCGUGGGGAGCGAACAGGAUUAGAUACCCUAGUAGUCC